rnacentral:rRNA from 1 species
AAUUUAAACCUCUUCCAGAGUAUCAAUUGGAGGGCAAGUCUGGUGCCAGCAGCCGCGGUAAUUCCAGCUCCAAUAGAGUAUAUUAAAAUUGUUGCAGUUAAAAAGCUCGUAGUUGAAUUUCUGCUGCAUUGGUUUUGCUCCUUUACGAGUCUUUGCAUUGUGGCUUAUUUCGGACUUUGUUUUACAAUGUCCGGAUGUUUACUUUGAGAAAAUUAGAGUGCUCAAAGCAGGCUUUCGCCUUGAAUAGUUUAGCAUGGAAUAAUAAAGUAGGACUUUGGUUCUAUUUUGUUGGGUUUGGGUACCAAAGUAAUGGGUAAUAGGAACAGUUGGGGGCAUUCGUAUUUAACUGUCAGAGGUGAAAUUCUUAGA